UUGAUUGAUUGUUUUCAAUACUCCGACGCAGAGACGCAGUGUGUUGGGUUGGACCUCUGGGGGACUCCCGGGUGCUCGCACACGUCCGGGUCGCCCCCCGAGGCAACGGUUAUGAAUCGACAAAGGGUUGGGAGGUUGGGCGCGAGGGCCCGCACUCGGUAAUGAUCCCUCCGCAGGUUCACCUACGGAGA
rnacentral:misc_RNA from 1 species